GCCCUGAUGGUGUAACCGGAAACACACCUACCAUUUUUGAAAGUGCAAGAACAUUUGCGUGGGAGUCCCUCGUUCGAUUCGGGGUCGGAUCA